AUUGAACGCUGGCGGCAUGCCUUACACAUGCAAGUCGAACGGUAACAGGUCUUCGGAUGCUGACGAGUGGCGAACGGGUGAGUAAUACAUCGGAACGUGCCUAGUAGUGGGGGAUAACUACUCGAAAGAGUGGCUAAUACCGCAUGAGAUCUACGGAUGAAAGCAGGGGAUCGCAAGACCUUGUGCUACUAGAGCGGCGGAUGGCAGAUUAGGUAGUUGGUGGGAUAAAAGCUUACCAAGCCGACGAUCUGUAGCUGGUCUGAGAGGACGAUCAGCCACACUGGGACUGAGACACGGCCCAGACUCCUACGGGAGGCAGCAGUGGGGAAUUUUGGACAAUGGGCGCAAGCCUGAUCCAGCAAUGCCGCGUGCAGGAUGAAGGCCUUCGGGUUGUAAACUGCUUUUGUACGGAACGAAAAGCCCUGGGUUAAUACCCUGGGGUCAUGACGGUACCGUAAGAAUAAGCACCGGCUAACUACGUGCCAGCAGCCGCAGUAACAC
rnacentral:rRNA from 1 species